rnacentral:rRNA from 1 species
UACAGGGGGGUGCAAACGUUGCUCGGAAUUAUUGGGCGUAAAGCGCGCGUAGGCGGCUACUUAAGUCGGAUGUGAAAGCCCUUGGCUCAACUGAGGAAGUGCACCCGAAACUGAGUGGCUAGAGUACGAAAGAGGGUCGCGGAAUUCCCGGUGUAGAGGUGAAAUUCGUAGAUAUCGGGAGGAACACCGGUGGCGAAGGCGGCGACCUGGGUCGAUACUGACGCUGAUGCGCGAAAGCGUGGGGAGCAAACAGG